GGAAACAUAGUCUAUAUAAGACAUAACACUGAAAAUGUUAAAAAGGAAUACCCCUAUUCCCA
rnacentral:tRNA from 1 species